UCCCCCGGACCACUCUAUGCCCAGCCAAUCGCAGCCACGUCUCUCCAGGGGCUCGCUCCAGACUGGGACCAGGAAGGCCCCCCCAGGAGGCCUGUGCGCGCGGCUCACCCCCGGCCUAGGGAGAGAGGCUUCAGCCCUCCGGAGCGGGACGAGGAGAGUGCCUUGGGGAAGGCAGGAUCCAGAAUAUCCCGAGCUACAGUGCCAACGGUGCUAACGGCCGGAGGAGGCCCAGGGUCAGUGGCCCCGCCCCCGGACCCGCCCCACGUCCCAGCGCCCCGCUCCUCCUCCGCUCGGCCCACUUUCCCCUCCCCUGCUAGUUAAGGCCCCGGCGGUUCGGCUGCGACCGCUUAGUCUGUCGGGUCGCAUGCUCAGCGGGUCCGCCCUCCAGCCCUCCGCGCACGCGCUCUCCCAGGACCAGGAGGACUCCCAUAGCCCCCGCGCUACCAGAGUCAUGCGGGACUACGACGAGGUGACAGCCUUCCUGGGCGAGUGGGGACCCUUCCAGCGCCUCAUCUUCUUCCUGCUCAGCUCCAGCAUCAUCCCCAACGGUUUCAAUGGCAUAUCCGUAGUGUUCCUGGCGGGGAUCCCCGAACACCACUGCCGGGUGCCCGCCGGGGCAAACCUGAGCAGCGAGUGGCGUAACCAUAGUAUCCCGCUGCAGCUGCAGGACGGCCGGGAAGUGCCCAGACAGUGCCAGCGCUACCGGCUCGCCGCGUUGGCCAACUUCUCCGCCAUGGGGCUAGUGCCCGGUAGGGACGUGAACCUGAGUCAGGUGGAGCUGGAGCCCUGUCUGGACGGCUGGGAAUACAGCCAGGACACAUACCUGUCCACCAUCGUCACUGAGUGGGACCUGGUCUGUGAGGAUGACUGGAAAGCUCCACUAACUACCUCCUUAUUUUUUGUGGGUGUGCUUAUCGGAUCCUUUAUUUCAGGACAGCUCUCAGACAAGUUUGGACGGAAGAAUGUACUAUUUGUGACAAUGGGGAUGCAGACAGGAUUUAGUUUUCUACAAAUCUUCUCAACAAGCUUUGAGAUGUUCUCAGUGCUAUUUGUCCUCGUGGGCAUGGGACAGAUCUCUAACUAUGUGGCUGCUUUUGUUCUUGGAACAGAAAUUCUGGGCAAAUCAAUUAGAAUAAUAUUCUCCACAUUGGGAGUUUGCAUAUUUUAUGCAAUUGGCUACAUGCUCCUGCCUCUGUUUGCUUAUUUCAUUCGAGAAUGGAGGAUGUUAUUACUGGCCCUAACUCUUCCAGGCUUGCUUUGUUUCCCACUAUGGUGGGUCAUUCCUGAGUCCCCCAGAUGGCUCCUGUCUCAGGGAAGAUUGGAAGAAGCAGAAGCCAUCAUUCGGAAGGCUGCAAAAAUCAAUGGGAUUGUUGGACCACAAAUAAUAUUUGACCCUAUGGAGUUGCAAGACCUGAAUUCCCGGAAGCAGCAUUCUCACAGUAUUUUGGACCUAUUUCGAACUCCUAACAUCCGGACCAUCACCAUCAUGUCUAUAAUUCUGUGGAUGACCAUAUCAGUGGGCUACUUUGGUCUUUCACUUGACACUCCAAACUUACAUGGUGAUAACUACCUGAACUGCUUCCUCGCUGCCGUGAUUGAAGUCCCUGCAUACAUAAUCGCUUGGCUGCUCUUACGGUACCUGCCCCGACGAUAUUCCAUGUCAGCUUCCCUUUUCUUAGGUGGCAGCGUUCUUCUCUGCAUACAACUGGUACCUCCAGACUUAUACUUACUGUCACUUGGCUUGGUGAUGAUCGGGAAGUUUGGGAUCACCUGUGCUUUCGCCAUGGUGUAUGUGUACACAGCUGAGCUCUAUCCCACAGUGGUCAGGAACAUGGGUGUGGGAGCCAGUUCUAUGGCAUCUCGACUGGGAAGCAUCUUGUCUCCUUACUUUGUUUACCUCGGUGAGUCACUGCAGACAGCCUACAGCUGGACAAAGGUGCCUAUGACCGAUUCCUGCCUUACAUCCUCAUGGGGAGCCUGACUGUCCUGACUGCCAUCCUUACCUUGUUCCUCCCAGAGAGCUAUGGGAUCCCUCUCCCAGAUACCAUUGAUGAUAUGCUGAGGGUCAAAGGAAUUAAAUACAGGCAGAGUCCCAGCCGCAACAACAACAACUCAAGGAUUUUAAAAGAAGGCGAAGAAAGACACACAGUCCUUAAAACCACAGCCUUUUAGUGAAACCCGUAAUUCAGUGAGAGAGUAAAGAAGACUUUCCUACAAGAGCUUGGGAGAACACUAAGUGUCCUGGAGUGUUAAACAUCCUAGUAUUUAUUAUAUUGAACCCAUUCCUUCUUUGUUUGUUGAAUAGGCACAUAGACACUGAUAGUUAAUCUGUCCUUAGAGAAAUCAAGACCAGGUUGCUUCAAUAACAGAAUGGACUUGGCUUCUUAUGAGAAGUUAAAUACCUAUUAGAAUUAAUGAGUAUUUAAAAUGGGUUUGGUUGUGAUGUACUAAAUUUACAGAGUAAUUUCAGAUUCUCUGAAAAGGGCCACUAAUAAAAUUGGAUGUUUAUUUUUCUUCCUUCUCUCAUUUGCUGGAGGAUGACAAUUGUUUUCCUCUGUUCCCAAGGAAUGCUUAACCAGACUUCCCCAGGGCUAAAGAAAGGGCAGGGACUGGCAAAACCUGAAUGUAGUUGCAAUGAAAUAGAUUUUAUUACAUUGAAUGUCAGCAACCAUGCAGUAAUUUGCUAGCACAAGCUCUCUAAUCGCUCAGCACAACUACUGUGUGAACUUGUUUACAUUCAUGUGAUCAAAGGAUUGGGCUUGUCCCGGCCCACAUUAAAAAGAAGAUAUCGCAACUCUGCCCCUCUAUUUUCCAUUGUUAUAUAAGUCAAACCUUCAGUGUUGCUCCAAGUUCAUAGGAGUUUUUUUUCCCUAGUAGUUUGGAGGGAGAACAGAAUGGAGAAUGUGUGGGGAAGGCUAGGAAGAGAAAACAGUGUAAUAUCUGUUUUCUCAAAGCCUUGAGAUUUUUCUGGCAGAGUAUGGAGAGGAGAGCCUUUCUCUUUAAUUUCCUUUCAAAAUAUACUUGGAAAAGGGGGCUAAGUAGCCCCUAAUUUUUUUGCCAUCUAUGUCCAGCUGCAAAUAAACUGGAUGUGAGUAAAUAUUUGCUAAGAACCAAUGCUACUAGCACUUGUUUAGAUGCCAAAAGUGACGACAUGAGGUGCUUUCCUUUUCUGAUCUCUAUCAUGGAAAAAAUGACUAAGACCAUGGAUGUGAUUUGAGUUUCUCCUGUUAGAUUGUGGGUGGGAGUAUAUCUACUCUUCCAAGAAACACAGGUACUUACUUAAGUCCUGUGACAGCCAUAGUUGAAACAGAUUAAGGAGGGAGGAGGGUAAUAAGCUUUUUAUUUAUCUUCUCUUCCCUCCUACCCAUUCUAUUGCCAUGGUACUAUUAAAACAUAUUCUUCACCUGGUCAAAAAAAUGCAUUUCUUUUUGCGAAAACCACUGUGGUAUUUUGGGAAUAUGAAAGAAAAAAAAACCUUUAAUAAACAAACUUGUUUUUUAAAAAAAAA